UUCUUGGGCUCCCUCCCUCCUCGCUGAGAAUGCCAACGUUUCUGAAGCCGGGCAGGUGUGAGCCAGGGAUUUAAUUUCUCAGUGGGACUCUGCGGCAUUACCGUACCAUCGGCCUUCCAGACGAAGGACGCACUAAAUGGAGAGGAUCAAGCCAGAGGAGAUGGCAGGAACGGGGGUUGUGCAGAACGCGAUGGGGGUGUAACGCUUGUGCCAGGUGGUAUUGGCAGUGACAAGGACGAGAAUCAGGAUCUCAGGGUUCCUCUUAGCAUUGCAAAGCAGAACCAGCUGGAGCGCCCCUCCCAGAAAUCUGGGAAACUGACCAGCACGCCCCUAACAGGCAGCUGUUCCCCCGUCGUGAGCACUGAGUCUGUGUCUAACACCGGAGAACUUUUAUUUAGAGGAGAAAGAAACGCAGCAUGAACUGGGGAAACCAUCACAAGAGUGACUCAGCAGUAUGUGAACUGUCACGGCCGGGUGAGGAGAUACCUGAGUGGGAUGGGCUGGAGCGAGACUGCGCUGCUGCUGCAUCUGUCCCACAGGGAAGAGGAUCAAACUGGAUUCAUUCAGCGACUGUCAAGGCAGCUGCUCUCUGUGUCCCAGCUCUCUGGCUGGGAUACAGGGGGCAGGAACUGGUGCAUUAGAGGGAACAGCUCCACGUCAGCAUAGUUCUGGAAAAGAGCACCCAGGUGGUUCACCCGCAUGCACGCUUCUCGACCCUGCAACCUGCCAGCACCUGGCACACACCAUCGAAAUGUGCAACAAAGGACACGAGAUGGGACCUGUUUAUUUUGUUGAACGUGGCACCAGUUUGCUUAGUGUGAUGUGCUCCAGUCUGCUCAUUUGGGGACCAGGUUUUGGGAUGAGGGGGAGUUUGUGCUGUCACACAAACAACGAAUGAAUCUCCCACAUGCAAUUCAUGCUGCCUCCUCCCUCCCACCCGCACACCCCGAAUGCCAGCUGCAGCCGGCCCCAUAAGUCUGGCUGCCCCAACAAACUGGUAAAGCAGCUUCCAGUGGAUUCUGUCUGCUUCUGGCUACGCAUCUGUGACGAACUGGGACUGUUCUUACUGUGGUCUUUGAAUGCUGGCAGGGGAGUGUGGCUAGGAUAGUCUGCAUUGGGGGAUGGGAGACUGACCGGAGUAUACCUGAGCAUGUAACAUGAGAACCCAGGAAGGGGUUAGAGGCCAGGUGACACCUUUGCCUGGGAAACUGAACAAAGGCUGUGGGAGGGGUCGCAGAAGGGAGAGUUUCAGGAGCUGGCUGGUGGAAUGGCUGGGAGGCAGACGGGGCUCUGACCUCCCAAGGGGGCUGGGGUGCCCGAGGACCCCAAGAUGGACCUAACUGAGGGGGUCCUGUUUUCUGUGCCUGCGGGACCUGUCUUGAACUGUGUCCCUGUCGUCUAAAUAAACCUUCUGCUUUA